rnacentral:rRNA from 1 species
GUGGGGAAUCUUAGACAAUGGGGGAAACCCUGAUCUAGCCAUGCCGCGUGAGCGAUGAAGGCCUUAGGGUUGUAAAGCUCUUUCAGCUGGGAAGAUAAUGACGGUACCAGCAGAAGAAGCCCCGGCUAACUCCGUGCCAGCAGCCGCGGUAAUACGGAGGGGGCUAGCGUUGUUCGGAAUUACUGGGCGUAAAGCGCACGUAGGCGGACCAGAAAGUCAGGGGUGAAAUCCCGGGGCUCAACCCCGGAACUGCCUUUGAAACUCCUGGUCUUGAGGUCGAGAGAGGUGAGUGGAAUUCCGAGUGUAGAGGUGAAAUUCGUAGAUAUUCGGAGGAACACCAGUGGCGAAGGCGGCUCACUGGCUCGAUACUGACGCUGAGGUGCGAAAGCGUGGGGAGCAAACAGGAUUAGAUACCCCAGUAGUCC